rnacentral:lncRNA from 1 species
GAAUAAAACCUUAGAAUCUCAAAUUAACCAAGAACCAAUGAAGAAACACCUUUGACACAUGCAAAACAAAUUUCUUUGCAUGAUCAAAGACUAUGAAUAAAGGAAAAAAAUGAUAGAAACUUACUUGCUUUAAACAAAGAACUGGUCGGGUAGAAGUGGAGAUUACUCCGUCGUGAUCUCCUAGGUACCUCUUGAUCGUUAAACAAAUGAUCGAGAAGUUAGAAAAGGUAGAGAGAAGUAAGAAGAAACUAAUAGAAAAAGUUUUAAAGAGAAGCCGGGUGUUUUAUAUAAUGAGUCAAGUUUAAGAAUUUCUAUAUAUAUUAUCA